rnacentral:rRNA from 1 species
CAGAAACUUACAGGAAGUUGACGGGGCCCGCACAAGCGGUGGAGUAUGUGGUUAAUUCGAUGCAACGCGAAGAACCUUACCUGGUCUUGACAUCCCGGAGACCCUUAGGAAACUAGGGGGUGCUUCCAUCUGGAAGAAUCUGGAGACAGGUGCUGCAUGGCUGUCGUCAGCUCGUGUCGUGAGAUGUUGGGUUAAGUCCCGCAACGAGCGCAACCCUUGCCUUUAGUUGCCAGCAGUUCGGCUGGGCACUCUAAAGGGACUGCCGGUGUUAAACCGGAGGAAGGUGGGGAUGACGUCAAGUCCUCAUGGCCUUUAUGACCAGGGCUACACACGUACUACAAUGGCCGAUACAAAGGGCAGCGACACUGCGAGGUGAAGCCAAUCCCGUAAAAUCGGUCUCAGUCCGGAUUGGAGUCUGCAACUCGACUCCAUGAAGUUGGGAUCGCUAGUAAUCGUGGAUCAGCAUGCCACGGUGAAUACGUUCCCGGGCCUU